rnacentral:rRNA from 1 species
CGAAGGGUGCUAGCGUUGUUCGGAAUUACUGGGCGUAAAGCGCGCGUAGGCGGCGAUACAAGUCAGAGGUGAAAGCCUGGAGCUUAACUCCAGAAUUGCCUUUGAAACUGUAUUGCUUGAGUGUCGGAGGGGAUAGCGGAAUUGCUAAUGUAGAGGUGAAAUUCGUAGAUAUUAGCAGGAACACCGGUGGCGAAGGCGGCUAUCUGGACGACAACUGACGCUGAGGCGCGAAAGCGUGGGGAUCAAACAGGAUU